rnacentral:rRNA from 1 species
CGCAUCUGUGCAUGCAGCAUAUCAAUAAGCGGAGGAAAAGAAACUAACAAGGAUUCCCUUAGUAACGGCGAGUGAAGCGGGAAGAGCUCAAAUUUGAAAUCUUCAAGGUUUUACCUUGACGAAUUGUAGUUUAAAGAAGUGUUUUCUGCUGAAGUUUUGGUAAAAGUUCUUUGGAAUAGGACAUCAUAGAGGGUGAGAAUCCCGUAUUUGACCAUUAUUUUCAGCUUUGUGAUACACUUUCAAAGAGUCGGAUUGUUUGGGAAUGCAGUCCAAAAUGGGUGGUAAAUUUCAUCUAAAGCUAAAUAUUGGCGAGAGACCGAUAGCGAACAAGUACCGUGAGGGAAAGAUGAAAAGAACUUUGAAAAGAGAGUUAAACAGUACGUGAAAUUGUCAAAAGGGAAGCGUUUGACACCAGUGUUGUUUUCUCGAAAAUCAAUUAAAAAUGGCUCGAUUUUGUAUUGCUGAGACCUUAAAAGCUCACUGUACAUUUUUCGAUUAUUAUUUAAUGCACUUUUCGUUUAACAAGUCAACAUCAGUUUCUUUUGUUGUAAAAGGGUAAUAGGAAGGUGGCUUUACUUUCGGUAGAAAGUGUUUAUAGCCUUUUAGCCUCUGCAAUCGAAGAGACUUGAGGUACUGCAGCGUAGAUCCUUCGGGGUUAGAUACAUUUGUGCUAAGUUAUAGCAUUUAUAGACAACUUGUUGACUAUACUAGUCUUGUAGCUUACUCGCAUAUGUUAUUUUACCUACGCUUAGGAUGUUGACAGCAGUAUAGACUGU